rnacentral:rRNA from 1 species
CCUACGGGAGGCAGCAGUGGGGAAUAUUGGGCAAUGGGCGAAAGCCUGAUCCAGCCAUGCCGCGUGUGUGAAGAAGGCCUUCGGGUUGUAAAGCACUUUCAGUGGGGAAGAAAGCCUUGGGGCUAAUACCCUCGAGGAAGGACAUCACCCACAGAAGAAGCACCGGCUAACUCCGUGCCAGCAGCCGCGGUAAUACGGAGGGUGCGAGCGUUAAUCGGAAUUACUGGGCGUAAAGCGCGCGUAGGCGGUCUGAUAAGCCGGUUGUGAAAGCCCCGGGCUCAACCUGGGAACGGCAUCCGGAACUGUCAGGCUAGAGUGCAGGAGAGGAAGGUAGAAUUCCCGGUGUAGCGGUGAAAUGCGUAGAGAUCGGGAGGAAUACCAGUGGCGAAGGCGGCCUUCUGGACUGACACUGACGCUGAGGUGCGAAAGCGUGGGUAGCAAACAGGAUUAGAUACCCUUGUAGUC